GGGUCCAGUGAUACAGCGACCACUGAACUCAUAAGCGGUACAGACAGUGAGCACACCUCCUCCGCUGACGAGUGGAUCCAGCAGGGCCCCAAUCUUCCUCCUCUUUUCCCCCCUCAUCCACCUCCACCUCCUCCUCCUCCUCCUCCACCUCUUCCCAUUUUACCUCCACAGGAGGAUCCAGAAGAUGUAAUGGGAGUAUUAGAUGUAGCAUCUUAAACUCAAGUGUAGCUGCCACUGUUUUGGUAAUGUUCUUUUUCCUCCCUCUCUGCAGUAUUUUGCCGAUGAUGAAGAAGAUUUUUAAUAAAUAUAUAUAUUUUUAAACUUAA